UUUCCAGCCUGUAUCGAGGAAUCGAUUCGCUUUAUCGGGCAACAAUUACGACACCGCAACGGCAAUCACCAUGUUUCAAAGGAUGACUUCGAUGUAGAAACGAUUAUCUUGAUCAGAGUAAUUAGCAGAUUGCUUGGGCUCAGUUGUUGCCGGAGUAUGGAAAAGGGGAAGAAGAUAAUGAAAGGAUAUUUGGAACUGUUCAAUGUUCAAUUAUUUUCAUUGUCCAUUGUGUAAUGGACGACGAGGAAUUUGCGGAAUAUCUUUCCACGAAACCUCGUGUCACAUUUGGAUUCGAUACAUCGAUGGCCAAUGUGCUUGAAGAAGGGUUGCUGCAAGGAUACAAGGAUAUAAGAAUGGCUGGAUCGGCACCGGCCGUGUCUCAGCCACAAUAUUAUUCUUUCAGCCGAUACAACGUUUGGAUGGAAUGGGAAUGACGAAAGAAACGUUGGUAACAUAUUGGAGGGGUCGCGGGAUACGUCCAAGUCGCUCGUAUUAUGCCUUCUCGCCAGUACAUACACGGCCACGUGCCUAUGCGUGACACGUUUACGCUUGGCUGGCCGCAUUUCCACUCUCUCCCUCCGUAUCGGUCCGUAUUCAUCUCCGAUUUCUUGUUGGGGUGCGCGCCGAUUGCGUUUCCACUUUAACCGUGCGUCGUUCAACGUCUAUCAACGGGUACACGAGCUGCAUGCUACUUAAAUCCGCACGAAUCCAGCUGUCUGAUGAACGUGUUCAAUGUGAUAGCUUUUUUAUUUGCAAACAUUGAUAUUUUGUAUGGCGUUGAGUAGGGUAUUUAAGAAGAGAAUAUGUUGUAUCGUGUUUCUUCGAUCUAAAGAGUAUUUAAGAAGGGAAAUAUUUGUUUGGUAUUAGACGACAGAUCGUUUAUGUAAAGUUUAGAGUUUUGUUGUUUUAGCAAACGAUGAGGAGAUUAAGAGAUUCUUAAUUUAUUCAAGGUAUUCAUACAAUGACAUUGUACGCGAUUGAACAAAAUUCUUAGAAGCUACUUUAAUAGGGAAUCGUUUAAUUUUUACUUUUUAUUCCGUCUUUUUAUUAUCUCACUUUUGUAUAACUUAUCGCAUCAUUUUGUAUAACUUUCGUCGACGAAGUAUUAUCAGUUGUAACAUUUAUUAACGCUAUUCAAAACACGUAGCAUACAAACCUAUAAAUCUCGUUUGUAAUAUAACAGUUUAUAAGUUGUAAACCUAUUUAACUUUUUUAUAGGAAUAGGUAAAUCCUUUUAAAGUAACCGUUAUCAAAUAUGUUUUAACGAUAGUCACGAUAAUAAGUGUAUAUGUUUAACAGGGGGAAUGAUUAUUACGCGAUGUCCGGAAUCAGGUUCGCGCAAAGAGAGACGUUUGAACCUAGGGAUCGGUACGGUUGAGGCCGUGUGAACGCGUUCGUGUCAGCAUUAAUUGAACUUUGCUCGAUAAGCAUUACGAGCUGCUAUCGGAGACGGGAUUUCAUGCAAAAGAAAAUCUUUCGGCGCGUUAAGAUCAUCCGGUGAGACAAGAAUCCUUUUUCUUCGAGUGUGUUCAUUCGGUCGGUUGUCGCGUUCACGCUAUGCGAUAAUUAGGAAACGAUUAAUUUCGCUCCGCGUAACACGUCGUUACAAAUGGGAUUUGAUACAACCAACAGUUUAUCUGAUGAACAAAAACAUAUUACCCUGAGCACGAACGACGUAAUGCGGUAAAGAAAAUACGUAGUUAACAGCGCCAGUGAAACGAUAAAAGCUGUUGUUCUUCAAGAUUUUGCAGAUUGGACGAUUUUAACGAAGUACUUUACAUCAGUAUUUAUGUAUCAGUGGAUUCUUGAGGAUGCUUGCUAAAAUACUGGCGAGAUGUUGGACUAUUUCUUUGCAGAAGAUACAUCUGUCAUUAGGUACUUCGGAUUUCCAGAGUCUACCCUGCAAUAUUCUGCGACCUUUCAUCCAUCCAAGAGGAGUCUAUAUCCGCAAAAAGCAGGCGAUCAUUAUUCUUCAAGCACCUUCACAUAUCUGGUUUCCCAAGUUUCACCAUGUUCGUCUUCCAUGAUAAUGCUACAACUACCAAUGAAAAAACCAUGAAAUAC
rnacentral:lncRNA from 1 species